UUUUUUUUUUUUUAAGAUUUUAUUUAUUCAUAACAGACAGAGAGGCAGAGACACAGGCAGAGGGAGAGGGAGAGAAGCAGGCUCCAUGCAGGGAGCCCGACGUGGGACUCAAUCCCGGGACCCCAGGAUCACAUCCCCGGCCGAUGGCGGGGCCAAACCGCUGGGCCACCGGGGCUGCCCCGAUCUGAGGUUUUCUUAAAGGAUGAACACCUAGGAAAUAAAUCGCUGAGAUAAUAAAAUGAGGUCUCACAACACAAAUCCAAAUAAUCACGAGUUCCGGCGAAUCGGGCCUCAAAUUCCAUAGUAGCAACAUUUGGCCAGAGCUGUGGGCAUCCCAGGCACGCACACCCCCAUUCUCUCGUGCACCCCAGCUUUACUGGAGUCUGACGUGCAGGCUUCAGACCCCUUUCCCGGGACAUGGCAAACCAAACCGCAAGGAGUCUAGGCGCACCUGUCGGGGGUCAGGGACACAGCGGGUCCAUGGAUGCAAAGAACUUAAUAUGGGGAAGUAGGUAUAAAAGCUCAAAUGGGACCGAUCACACUGACACCUCACGCCCUGGGCUUCUGCUCUAGGUCCUUACAGGUGGGAGCCAGGGCCUGGGGGACGGGGGUGGGGAGUUAGGGUCUGGUGGGGACACAGGUUCCAUUGUGAAGACCGAGAAAGUUCUGAAGACAGGUGGUGGCGGUGGCUGCACAACCAUGUGGAUGUACCCAAUGACCCCAGAUUGGACACUUAAACCCGGUCAAAUGGGAAGUCUGAUGCUGUGUGUAUUGGAAGGCGACGCUAAAUGAUUAUUUCUUUGAAGACCCAAUGGGGGAACAAUGAGGCAGCCAGAAGUAAACACGGUGUAGGGCGGAGCUGGUAUUAUGGGACCCAGAGGGAGCUGUUGGGAGCCUCGCAGGUGACACUGUGUAUGGCAAAAACAAAAGGAGGGGGGAGAGUCAGCUUCUCCCCUCCUCCUGGUGGUGCCCUCUCCCACCAGCGAGGACUCCGCAGCCUGAAGCCAGCAGGACCCCGACCCCCACCCCGACACACACACACCCGCCUUACAGGGCAAAGGGAGGGAGAGCAGGGAGGGCUGGGAAGCAGGUGACCCCGGGUGCAGGGCGGUGGGGUGGGAAGGAGCACAUCCCGGGCCGAGCCACCUAGGCUCCCAGGUUGAGAUGGGGGGGGUGUCUCGCAUGCCUUGGAGCCUCAGUUUCCCCAGCUGAAGCUGGGGCCAGGGCUAAUCCCCAGCUCCCAGGCUCAGAGCCCGUGCGGGGCCCUGCACAGGCCUGGAGAAGAAGGCCCGGAGCCAGGGGACUGUCAUGUUCGCUGUGUCCACAGGGUGGCACUUCCUUCCUUCCUUCCGCCCUUUGUCUUGGGAAGGUUCCAAAAUGCCUCUGGGGGUGAAGGCUGAACGGGCGCCCGGGAAGCGCGGGCCGGAGGCCGCUCGAUAAUUGGUUGAUUGACUGAUUCCAAGCUCAGCCGCGCGGCAAACGGGCCAAAUGAGCGUAAAUGGCCCGGCAAACCGAAGGGGCCUGGAGGUGACCCGGGAGCAGGCGGGGAGGGGGCAGGACGUGGUCCCCGUGUCCCCGCGGAGGGCGCCGCCCGCAGCCAGAGGGGCGGGCGCUUCUGGUCUCUGGCCUCGGCCGUUUGCUGCUCCAGAACGAGUGACCGGCUUCCUUCCUCGGGGCCCCCGCGGCGACACUGCAUGUGAGCCACAUGCAGGACUCAGAGCUUCAUGACAAGUGACAGCAAGCCGUUGGCGGGGAUGAACGUGGCUGCUCCCCAGCGCGGCCCCUGAGCACAGGGCAGUGUCAAGCGCCCAUUUCACAGAUGGGCAAGGGGAGGCUCGGGUGGCUGGGCUCAGCCCACACGGCUCGGGGAGGACCGAGAGGCCACCCCUUGCCUUCCCCUACAGGCCGCGAGGGGUGGGGGGCGUUCUUGGGGCUCGGACAGGGUCCCCUACCGGAAGGCCCCCGGCAGGACUCCAGGCCUGCACGCACCGCCAGCUCCCGGCCUGUGGGCUCAGCACCAGAGCACCGCGACGGAGCCGGUUCUGGGGGGCACAGGACUCUGCAGCUCGGGGCACUGUCACCCCCAAGGACAGGGUGGGGGGCUGGCAGUCCCCUGCGCCUUGGCUCUGAGGGCUCAGCAGCUCCGGCCAGGGCAGGGUGGGUGGCGCGAGGAAGCUGCUCCCCUGGGCUUGGUACCCCCAACUCUGUCCUCUGCUGCCCCCCACCCCCACCGGCGGCCCAAACCACAGCUGCCUGCGGUGAGUCAGGCUGGAGCCUGCGGGGCGAGCCCAGGUCCGGGGGGUGUGGGGGGGAGGGCUGCCCGCACCCUGCAGCUUCCCCAGCCAGCCCCCCUCCACUGUGGGGGGCCAGGACCUCCUUCGGGCCCCCCGGAAGUGAAUUCUCCGACGGCGGGGUGUGGGAGAGGCUGAGGGCCCCGACGGGGGGUGAGCCCUGGGCACACCAUCCACCCCCGAGCGGGGCAGCGGCCGGGGCGGGAGGGGUUGGAGGCGGGGCAGCCCUGGGACUCCUGGGUCUGGUCCAGCCUCCCCUCCAGGCGGCUCGGGUUUCAGCCCCGCUUCCUGCCCUGGUGGAGGGGCUCCCUCCUCCCCGAGCCCCGCCCUCCCAGGCCCAGCUGCUCUGCUCACCCUGGCCUCUGCUCCCACGCUGGGCCCGGGACGGAGUGGGGAGAGCUAGGGGGUUCACAGCAAGACCAGCCCCCUAGAAACGCGGGGCUAGAGCAGGGUGGCCUGCGCUCAAAGGUCGUCAUCAGACUCCCUUUUCCUGGGUCCCAACUCUGGGGUCCUGCCUGACAUCUGAAAUCCCCCGCGGAUCUUCUUGUGGACUGCAGGCCCAGUGUGAUCCAGCAACCACUCCCUCCUCCCAACCCUGCGUGAUCCAGCCCCUUGCCCCACAGUUCCUGCAGGCCUCUUUGCUACCUCUGAGCACUCACUUUGCACUGGCUGUUCCCUCUGCCUGGAUCACCACCUCCACACUUCCGUCUCCUAGGGGCUCAAGUCUGGGCUCCAGUGACACCUCCUCUCCAGGGCCUCCUACAGAGCCUCCCCCGACAGCAACAGCAUUGAUCACUAGCUGAAAGU
rnacentral:lncRNA from 1 species